AGUGGGGAAUAUUGCACAAUGGGCGCAAGCCUGAUGCAGCCAUGCCGCGUGUGUGAAGAAGGCCUUAGGGUUGUAAAGCACUUUCAGUCGUGAGGAAAGGUGUGUGCUUAAUACGUACAUACUGUGACGUUAGCGACAGAAGAAGGACCGGCUAACUCCGUGCCAGCAGCCGCGGUAAUACGGAGGGUCCGAGCGUUAAUCGGAAUUACUGGGCGUAAAGCGCGCGUAGGUGGAUUGGUCAGUCAGAUGUGAAAGCCCAGGGCUCAACCUUGGAACUGCAUCUGAUACUGCUAGUCUAGAAUACAGUAGAGGGUAGUGGAAUUUCCUGUGUAGCGGUGAAAUGCGUAGAUAUAGGAAGGAACACCAGUGGCGAAGGCGACUACCUGGACUGAUAUUGACACUGAGGUGCGAAAGCGUGGGGAGCAAACAGGAUUAGAUACCCUGGUAGUCCACGCCGUAAACGAUGUCUACUAGCCGUUGGAAGACUUGAUCUUUUAGUGGCGAAGCUAACGCGAUAAGUAGACCGCCUGGGGAGUACGGCCGCAAGGUUAAAACUCAAAUGAAUUGACGGGGGCCCGCACAAGCGGUGGAGCAUGUGGUUUAAUUCGACGCAACGCGAAGAACCUUACCAACUCUUGACAUCCAGAGAAGAGGCUAGAGAUAGCUUUGUGCCUUCGGGAACUCUGAGACAGGUGCUGCAUGGCUGUCGUCAGCUCGUGUUGUGAAAUGUUGGGUUAAGUCCCGUAACGAGCGCAACCCUUGUCCUUAUUUGCCAGCACG
rnacentral:rRNA from 1 species